GAGGGUAUAGCUCCGUGGUGGAGCACAUGCCUAACAUGUGUGAGGUCCUGGGUUCAAGCCCCAGCACCGCCA
rnacentral:tRNA from 1 species